rnacentral:lncRNA from 1 species
GUCAAAACGUAAUAUAGAAAAGUUGUGCUACGUAGGAUACCCAAUCAGCAGCCCCGACAAACCAAAAUGCGCCGCGUGGCAAAGGACGCUAAUGCGGUGCCACACGGGCGAUCUACGUGCCUACGAUCAGAUGGUUCAGAUUCGCUCCCGUGCGCACGGACGGCUCAUAUUGGUGCACUACCCAAACGCGAUCAAAUGGUCAUAAUUAAAUGCGAUCAACGGUCCAGAUCUACUUCUUAUUUAAUCGCGAUCGGAUGGCCCAGAUCAAAUACGAUGAACAACCUAGAUUAAAAGGGAACUAGUGUAAAUAACCCUCUUCACACCAAACCCUAACCCUAGCCACUGGAUACCUCACGGGAGAAAAAGACCCAGCCGUUGGGAAGGAGAGCCGCCACCACCCGUCGUCGCGCCAGAACCACUUCCGACUACCAAAAGAGGUAAAAAUUUUCUCCUAUGCUUGGAAUUCAAUUUUAAACACCCCCAUGGUCAAAUUGAAGCUAAAAAAUCGACAGAUUAGCCGAAAACUGCGGGUAAAGCCCGGCGCCGCCGCCGCGAGAAAUUUCAAAAACUGCCUCCGAUGAGGCCCUUCCCAAUUCCCGUUCUGCGAAAUUUUUCCACCAUUGUAAUCACCUUUUUCUUCUUUACAUGUUAACUGAAGCAAAUACCCAACCGCAAAAGUGAGCUGGCAGAGCCGCCGCAUUGGAGAGCCCCGCCGCUGGUGAGUUUCAAUUUUUUU